AGAGCGAACGCUGGCGGCAGGCUUAACACAUGCAAGUCGAGCGGGCGUAGUAAUACGUCAGCGGCAGGCGGGUGAGUAACGCGUGGGAACGUACCUUUUGGUUCGGAACAACACAGGGAAACUUGUGCUAAUACCGGAUAAGCCCUUACGGGGAAAGAUUUAUCGCCGAAAGAUCGGCCCGCGUCUGAUUAGCUAGUUGGUGAGGUAACGGCUCACCAAGGCGACGAUCAGUAGCUGGUCUGAGAGGAUGAUCAGCCACAUUGGGACUGAGACACGGCCCAAACUCCUACGGGAGGCAGCAGUGGGGAAUAUUGGACAAUGGGCGCAAGCCUGAUCCAGCCAUGCCGCGUGAGUGAUGAAGGCCCUAGGGUUGUAAAGCUCUUUUGUGCGGGAAGAUAAUGACGGUACCGCAAGAAUAAGCCCCGGCUAACUUCGUGCCAGCAGCCG
rnacentral:rRNA from 1 species